rnacentral:rRNA from 1 species
UACGGAGGGUGCAAACGUUGCUCGGAAUCAUUGGGCGUAAAGCGCACGUAGGCGGUUCGUUAAGUCGGGUGUGAAAGCCCUGGGCUCAACCCAGGAAGUGCAUCCGAAACUGGCGAGCUGGAGUAUGGAAGAGGGGCGCGACAUUCCCGGUGUAGAGGUGAAAUUCGUAGAUAUCGGGAGGAACACCAGUGGCGAAGGUGGCGACCUGGGCCAAUACUGACGCUGAGGUGCGAAAGCGUGGGGAGCAAACAGG